UCCUGGAACAGUUUAAACAGUGCUGGAGUGAUCCAUCCCUUAAAGGUUUGGUGGAACCUGAGGGGCCAACCUCAGCCUGCAGCUGGCACCUGAAAAGAAGGCCUCAGUGACUCAGAUGAUUGAUCCCAGCAGGGCAGUUUCCGUGGAGCCGACCAUAAGCCUCAGAGAUGCAGACUCCCACGUCCUUGGGGUGGGACUCUCCCUCCCUCCAUCCUGGAUCUUCUUGCUGGUCGAGCCUUUUUCCACAGAUCUAGAUACCCGUGGGCUGCUUGGAGUCUCCAUGAGUCUGCAUCAAGUUCUGUCUACUGUUCUUCCUCCACCAAGAAGUCUUCCCUGAUUGAGCCCUUGACAUCUGGUGGCUGUCUCUUUCUCUGCCCAGUCCUGACACUGAGUAGCUCCUUAGUCUCAUUUCCCUAACUGUCUCCUGUAAUGGGCUGGAUUGUGUCUCUCCCACCUUGCAAUUCAUAUGUUGAAGUCUCAAGUCCUCGGUACUGCAGAAUGUGAUUAGAUUUGGAGACAGGGUCGUUAAGAGGUGGUUAAGGCAAAAUGAGGUCAUGUGGGUGUCCUUAAUCCAAUAUGACUGGUGUCCUUGUAAGAAGAGACUAGGACAGGGACAUUCACAGAAGGAAGACCACGUGGAGACACAGGGAGGAAACAGUCACCUAUCAGUCAAGGAAAUAGGACUUAGAAGAAACCAAACCAGCUGACACCUUAAUCUUGGACUUCUAGCUUCCACAACUGUGACAUAAAGAAUUUCUGCUCUUGGGCUUCCCUGGUGGUCCAGUGGCUAGGAAUCCACCUGUCAGUGCAGGGUACAUGGGUUUGAUUCCUGGUCUGGAAAGAUUCCACAUGCCAAAAAGCAAUUAAGCCUGUGUGCCACGACUGUGAACCUGCAUUUUAGAGCCUCGGAGCCGCAACCCCUGAGCCCACACACCUAGACCUUGUGUUCUGCAGCAAGAGAAGCGACAGCAAUGAGAAGCCCUGCAGCAAAGAGUAGUCCCUGCUUGAUGCAACUAGAGGAAGCCCGUGCACA
ensembl:lncRNA